rnacentral:rRNA from 1 species
GGCGAACGGGUGAGUAACACGUGGGCAAUCUGCCCUUCACUCUGGGACAAGCCCUGGAAACGGGGUCUAAUACCGGAUAUCACUGCCACUCGCAUGGGUGGUGGUUGAAAGCUCCGGCGGUGAAGGAUGAGCCCGCGGCCUAUCAGCUUGUUGGUGAGGUAAUGGCUCACCAAGGCGACGACGGGUAGCCGGCCUGAGAGGGCGACCGGCCACACUGGGACUGAGACACGGCCCAGACUCCUACGGGAGGCAGCAGUGGGGAAUAUUGCACAAUGGGCGAAAGCCUGAUGCAGCGACGCCGCGUGAGGGAUGACGGCCUUCGGGUUGUAAACCUCUUUCAGCAGGGAAGAAGCGAAAGUGACGGUACCUGCAGAAGAAGCGCCGGCUAACUACGUGCCAGCAGCCGCGGUAAUACGUAGGGCGCAAGCGUUGUCCGGAAUUAUUGGGCGUAAAGAGCUCGUAGGCGGCUUGUCACGUCGGGU